UACGUAGGGGGCGAGCGUUAUCCGGAUUCAUUGGGCGUAAAGCGCGCGUAGGCGGCCGCCUAAGCGGAACCUCUAACCCCGGGGCUCAACCUCGGGCCGGGUUCCGGACUGGGCGGCUCGAGUGCGGUAGAGGAGAGCGGAAUUCCCGGUGUAGCGGUGGAAUGCGCAGAUAUCGGGAAGAACACCGAUGGCGAAGGCAGCUCUCUGGGCCGUCACUGACGCUGAGGCACGAAAGCGUGGGGAUCGAACAGG
rnacentral:rRNA from 1 species